UUGCUAUCUGCGAUAUGGAAGAUUCGAACCUGCCGCAGGUUCGGGUCGAACGCAGUGAGACAACGGAGCCGUUUACGGCGACGGCCCGAAGGGCGAGCAAAGCGAGUCAUCCUGCACGACCCACCA
rnacentral:sRNA from 34 species